UUUGGCGUUCAAAUUUCAUUCUCAAAAAGUUGUAGAGACAAGAACAUAAUCUAAGAUUUAGUCGAAACUCUUUGAACCAAAUUGGCUGGAACACAUUCUUAUCGUAGACGGGUUCCAUGGUUUUUGCACCGAAGAUUUGAAAAAGUGCUGCUAAAUAUAUAUAUAUAUAAGUUUAUUUUGUUGAUUUUUGAAAGUUUGUGUCUUUGCAUGUUUGGUUAACUUUGAUUCUUAACUGAUUGAAAUAGGAAGAUAGAUUUUUUCGGCUAUUAUAGUCGAAGAUAUGGGUAUUUUUGUGUGGGUUUGUUUUAUUGUUUUUCUUGUUUUUGUUGACAGUAGUCCAAGCCUUUGAAAAUGAGUGUUUGCAAUUGUUUUUUUUUUUUUGCUUUAAUGUCAUGAAGCUACCAGUGUUAUGGUGAAUGAAUGAAGGUGCUUAGGUGAACGAAGGUGUAGCAACAGGUGGUUCAUCAUCAACAUCAAGAGGUAGAGGCCAACAAAGGGGAAUUAUAAAGCAUGGAUUACCAUUCAGUAAGUCUGUCAACUAUCAAACCAAUAAUCCAAGUAAAAAGAGCAGUUGAGAUUACCGGUGACCGUGGAUUCAAGACAACAAGUUUCAAAUGGAAAGGCAAGCAAGCUAUUACUAUAGCACAGUUGCUGCGUGAGAGGUUUGGGAAGAUUAUGACAAGGGGAAGUAGCCAACAAUCACACAACAUCUGUGCAUCUAAGAAUGCCACGAGACUAGGAGGGAAGAAAGCCGGCAAUCACAAGGCAAUGUUUUCACAUAAUGACGAAAUUGUGUCAUGUUAGGAUUUAGUCAAUUUAUAUCUUUUUCGAUGGAGAAUUGUGUUUGUAGAUUUUGGAUAAGUUAUGACUUUUUCUGUCAUAUUAGAUUGUGUAAGUUGGCUUUUGAAUAAAUUAUGUCAUUUUACUUAUGUAAAUCGAAUUAAGUUUGCAAUAAUAUGUAAGUGCUUUUAGGUUUAUAAAUUGACUACAUUUAUAUGUGGUUAUUGGACAAAA